rnacentral:rRNA from 1 species
AUGUCAACAUGAGCUAACUUAGGACUUCAAGACAGAGCAUCCCCCUUAAUAGAACAAUUAAUCUUUUUCCAUGAUCAUACCCUGUUAAUUCUAGUAAUAAUUACUGUAUUAGUUGGAUACUUAAUAACAAUAUUAUUCUUCAAUAACUACACCAAUCGAUAUUUACUACACGGACAAACUAUUGAAGUAAUCUGAACAAUUCUACCAGCUAUUGUAUUAUUAUUUAUUGCUCUACCUUCCCUACGGCUAUUAUACUUAUUAGAUGAAAUUAAUGAGCCUGUUCUAACCCUAAAAUCUAUUGGUCACCAAUGAUACUGAAGAUAUGAAUAUUCUGAUUUUAUUGGCCUAGAUUUUGAUUCCUAUAUAAUUCCCACAAAUGACCUUCCAGAAAAUGGAUUUCGGCUACUAGACGUUGACAAUCGGGUAGUACUUCCCAUAAAUUCACAAAUCCGAGUACUUGUAACCGCAGCAGACGUAAUUCAUUCAUGAACUGUCCCUGCUUUAGGUGUAAAAGUAGAUGGAACUCCUGGUCGAUUAAAUCAAAUUAACUUUUUAAUUAAUCGACCUGGUCUAUUUUUUGGCCAAUGUUCAGAAAUCUGCGGAGCAAAUCACAGAUUCAUACCUAUUGUAAUUGAAAGUGUUCCUGUACAAUAUUUUAUUAAAUGAAUACCU